AUGCGGAUCGGAGGAGGAGCCCUUCACACAAGCCAACAUUUCACAUCGAUCCCCUCGUAACUUUUCAGACUUCAAGCCAUGAGGAAUUGUGUCCUCAGUGAUAUUCAACUUCCGGCAUCCUGUCAGCUGAAGUCUGGGUGACGCUGAGUUCGGCAAAAUGACAAACAAAAGCGUCUUUUGGAUGCAGUCCGCCCUCUGCAUGGAGAAAACCACUGGACGAACUAAUUCACAAACUAUUCGGGAUGUAACGUCUUCUGCAAGGAAAAAUAAAAUCUACUGGCUCACAAUGAGCUUAUGUGGGGAUGAGGGUACAUGGGUGAAACAGUAGUGACCACCACGAGUUAACUGUAGCCAGAUGAUGGGAACAUGAAGGUUCUCCCUACUCUGAGAGGCCCUUGAAGAAUCCCAAG